AUUGACUCAAGAACUAUAGAGAAAAUCUUAUACUCAAGAAAUGUUUCGACAACACAUUUUUUUGAGGACUUGGAUUUGUUUUGUAAAACUGCCUUGACUUGUAUGUGAAAUUUAGGCCAAAUGCCACUUAGCAAAGUAUUUGUAGGAUGUUGUUGAACUUGAUUAUGAUAUUCGAAUGCUUCAAAUGAUAUUUUGGCAUUUCGUAAUGUAAUGGAUGCCUUCAUUA
rnacentral:lncRNA from 1 species